CCUCCUACGUCAAAUUUACGCGCUUUAUUGAACGCCACAUCGCCUAUAUUCUGAUCGACACCGUGGACAUCAACAUUGAUUCAAAACGCCUCCCGAUCCACUGUGUCGUAUCAUAUCCACGUUUAACGUUAGAAGGACACCAUGUUGCUUCCAAGCGGAUCCAUUUGCCUUCAUGCCGGACUCCUAUGUAUCCGACGGAUCUCCUUUACAAUCCCACAAAUCGUUUAGUUCCCAUUUUCCAAGAAACACAAACAUCCCCUACAAUCCACCGACAGGCUCUAUCUUUUCUAACUGCAACCCCGCAUUUCUCCCCAGCACAACUCCGAUCGGCGAUCACAUCACCCAAAAGUAUCUCAAACUGAUUUGGCGGGGAUAGGAUUUGCUUCUUCAUCUUUCUUUCAUCGGGAUUGCGCUCUCGGUUUCUCCUUUUCUUCAUUUUCCUCUCUUUCUCGAGGCGAAGAUAGAGCACCGGGUAUUCCAGAUUACAAAAACCCUUAAACAUGUUCUUCGUCAUUGGCAAAAACCCGCCUCACCAGAAAAACUCUAUAACGUCUGAACCCAAAUCAGUUAUGAAGAUUAAAUCGAAAUCAAGCAUGCUAAUCAAUGAUGAAGAAGAUAUCAGAUCAAUCGGGGUUAGGGAAUAUCAGGGCCACAAGAAGAAGGUCAAAUCUCAUUCUUCUCUCCUCCUCGCUAAAACCUAAUUAUUAGUUUUUCUGUUAAUUAAUAGUCGCCCUGUGCCCAUGGUUGUUCUGUUCAUUAAAAGUCUUGGAAUUGCAUUCAAUAGCUUGGAAUUGCAUCAGAACAAAGCUUGCCUUAGGUUCAGACGAUCAAACGGCUCCGAUAGGCCAAGGGAACUGGAAAGAGAAGAAACGGGAGAUUCCUGCUUUGUUAUUUCACAUAUUGAUAAACGUUUGCUCCCAUUGAAUAUAAAGCUUUUGAUAAACGUCUAGCUUUCUGGUCCUUUUUCCUCUUCUGCUUCCGCAAAACCACCCAGAAGUACGUAUUAAUCUAUUAUUAUUAUACAAUAAAACAAUCAAUAGGUGUAUGUUAAUCUCCAAUAAAUAUGUGUUCCUGGUUAUUUUUUUAUUGUUUUCUUUUAAGAAAAGGAAGGAGUGAAUUUUUGUCACAAAGAACUUUCAUGGAUGUGUUGUCAACUUGUAAUGGUUUUAAGAUUUCAUACUGUUUGAUAAACCUUACUUCAUAAAGAGUAAUAAAGGUAAUAAUGUAAUGAACGGACAUUGGGAUCCUUAAAAAAAUAAGGAUUUAACUCCUAGAAUUAUAGUGGAUCAUAUUGAAGGGGUUUGAACCCAAGAUUCUCAACUAGAAAGAAACAAAUGGAUUUAGUUAAAACCGGUGAAUUUGAAGCAUUAAAAUUUCAUUAUUAUUAUAAUAAUCGAUUUUAUGAGGAUUAAAAAAGAUUGUUCACAAUAGACCCAUGAAGUAUUUCUCAAUUACUUCACUAAUUUAAUCGACUUCAGUUCAAUAGUUUUUGAUUUAUAAUAACUUAAUGAUCAACUGUUUUCAUAUUGUUUGAAGAAAUUUUUAUCAAAUUUCUUGUUAUUCCACCAUAUAAUAGAACGUAUCACCAUUUUAAUCCGUUUUUCAAAGAAACAACUCCAUCAGUUCAAUUAUGGAAUCUUUACCAUAUGUUAGUUUUAAUAGUUGGAAAGUUCUUAAUGAUCAUGUAGUAGCUAUUAGUGCCUAAAACAUGCACAUGUUAAGAGGCCUAUUAAUAGUCAUCCACUUACUUUUUUGAGAUUAAUGAGAUUUGGCUAUAUUAGCUUAAUAGAGCAUAUUAGCAUUGAAGGAAAACAUUCUAGAAAUAAAGAACCGAACCAGAUAUGGUUUCCACAUACCGGUUAUAUCACCAUCUAUUGUAUAAUAGUUUGUGGCUACUUGAAGACCCAAAGUCCCAAGAAUAUACAACUUGACCUGAGAUGUAAAAAAGGUUGUUUCCAAGAUGGUCAAAUUGUCUUUGAUUUUUUAUAUGUGUAAAGUAAAUUACCAACCAAAGAAAUAUAUAUUAAGAAAAGGGAUUCCGUCAAGAUUGCUAAAGUUUUUUUUGGUGUUUGUAGAGACACUCUUUGACGAAUUUGUUCCGAUUCUUUUAUUUGGGUACCAAGCAAAGGUAAUGAUGGUCCGUAAUCAACGCCUCUUAUGUAUAUUAUCAAUGAGAUUUGAGUUAAUGGAGGUUAGACUUUGAUUAGAUUAGUUUCUUGAUCUUAAAAUCGAAAUAUUCUCAAAAAAAAUAAAAAAUAAAAAAUAAGCCGUUAUCUUCUUUUUUCAGCUAACAUCUUGUCAUAUGUUGCCAAAUUUCAGUGAGUGCCGGUGAGACAACAUUAGUCUUGAUAUAUUAUAAAGCACACUUAAAUUUUUUGAAAUGAACGGCUAAAAGCACUAUAUAUAUAUCAAUUUACUUCCAUUAAUUUGUUUAUUAUAGUGUCCUACUUUCAUUUCCUCAUAUUGCAAUAUUAUACAUAAUUAUACACAUCGAGAUUUGAUGAAUUGAAAUGAGUGGCUAUUCAAUAAAUACUUGUGUAUGAUCUUUAAUAUUCUCAUAGUUUCAUGGUUUGUAAAUUUGGUCUUUUAACUAUUGCUAUAAAAUUUCCAUUUAAUUUGUUGCUAAUCAUAAAAUGUAUUUCAAGCAGUUAAAAAGAUGAACCAAGUUAAGCCCUUUGACUGUCUGAUUUAUGCCUCUUGCUAAAAAAUGUAGGUAAAUUUCUUCUUUUGACAUUUGUAAUAACUGCAUGCUAUAGAGUUAUGCUUUGAUAAUUUUUUUUCCAUCAUGGGUGAAGUAGUGUGUAGAUUAAUGAUAUUUAUGCCAAUUGUCAUGCUCACAUGGUUCCCUUCAUAUCAUAGUUCCCAAACAAGGUUGUUGUUCGACCAUGCCUUCAUUAGAGGUAUCUAAAUUUUAAUGAUUAAUGAGGAAACACACGGAAAGGGCUAAACCUAUUUGAUGGGUUAUUUGUGUUUUAUAGCAUCAUACUCUUAUUUCUUGUUAUCAACGAUUAUACUAUCAAAUUUUACUUAUUAAGGCUUUGUAUAAUGAAAAAUCCACUCAAAUAUGGCAUUGUACUUUCAAAUACCUAACUUAUCCUCUAUGUGAAGGAGCUACUAGAUUUCCAGGGUGGGUCGUGCUGAGCACGGGCCUCUAACUUUCCUAGAUCACUUUGUAUACUACUACUAUGAUUCCAGUCGUUCCAUAUAGAUCUUUUGAACUACAUAAUUUCAUAUACCAUCAGGUCAAAAAAAAAAAAGAUUGAUUAGAUACAUAAUUCAGAUGUUGUAUCAAUUCAUAUGCAUUCAUGGCG